ensembl:lncRNA
GUCCCCUCCCAUCUCCAGGACUUUGCACGCGUUGGCUGCCUCUCUGCUCUUUGAGUUUACGAACUCCUAUUCGCCCCUCAGAGUCCUUAAUCUUGAGUUCUCCUUGAAGCCUGCCUUGAUUCCCCAGUAGAAGUGGGGGUCCCCUCCUCUGUACUCCAUCAGACUGCUCACACGGCAGUCAGGCACUUCUCAUGCUGAGUUGCUGUUUGUGAGGGAAGGGCUGGGGCCCCAUCACUCCUGUGCCUUUGGAGUUGGCGGGGGGUCGGUUUUCAUGUCUUUGGUGCUCAAGAAGGGAAGGGCGUCAAGGGAGCAGGUGGACCUGAGAUCCCUGCGGAAGCAGGAGAGGAAGGGGGAUGGAACAGCAUCCUUUGAUGAGCGGAGGGAGAAAGGACUGAAAUCACCUGGUGCCACGGUAACAGCGGAGACCAGUGGAGACCAGCUCCGGCCGCUGGUGUUCUGAGGAGAGCGACUGCGAAGGGCCUCCUCCACCUGCCAGAAGAGGGGAGGGAAGGUAACAGCCUUGGGCUCGAGCCCGGGGACCUCUGCCAGCGGCCACGUCCAGCCCACAGCCCCAGGGAGGGCCAGGAGGAACCACAGAGCCCGAUCUCCCCAGGCUGGGGGCCGAGCCCAGGCGAACCCGCCUCCCCAGGGGGCUUCAGAUGCAGAAAUCAGCUUUCUGUCCUAGAAUGGAGCCCAGCCGCCCGGGCCUGUCGUCACAGCGUCCGAAGUCUGUCCCAUCAGAGGCCAGCUGCCCGGAGGGUAACGCAGGCUCAGCUCUCUCUGGCUUUGGGAGUGCUUGCUUGCUUCCCAGGGCUCACAGACGAGGCCAUCUGCUGCCAUCCUGGCUCCCUUGGUUCUGUUCAAUGUCCUGGCGACUCAGGACCAUGACACUCUUCCCCAAACCCCAUUGAAAAUGCAGCUCUUCUAGCCUUGAGAGCCUGCCUUCCAACCUCAGGUGCUUGUCCAGCUACUGCUGAGCUAUUGACUGCAGGAGUACCUCCAGGCCUUGGGCAACUCUACUUUCCCUGGCCAGGGGCCCACUCUUGCUGCAGACUCUUCUUCCCUAACCCGAGUGCAUGCCAGCCAUCUUCAUUCAAGCCCUUUCCCACCCCCCUAAAGCCUCCAGCCCUGCUGCCUUCUGAGGUCCCCCACCUGGCUGAGAGCCUCCUCCCUGUGCUGAGAAGUGCCGCCACCAGUCUUCGCUCCCAUGCGUUCCUACAACCCUGACUGGUACCUAGACUUCUGUGAUGCUUCACAGUGGGUUUCUGCAGUCAGCUCCCUUCCCCUUUCUUGAUUUCAAAUCUUCUCCAUGCUCCUGAAGCUUUGGGUCCCUCAUCUCCUCCCAAUCAGAUGACCUCACCUCCUGUGCUGUGCUGUGCUUAAUACUCAGUCGGAUCUGACUCUUGGAGACCCCAUGAACUGUAGCCUGCCAGGAUCCUCUGUCCAUGGGGAUUCUCCAAGCAGGAAUAC